AUUGAACGCUAGCGGGAUGCUUUACACAUGCAAGUCGAACGAGUGGCGGACGGGUGAGUAAUAUAUCGGAACGCGCCCAGUAGCGGGGGAUAACUACUCGAAAUAGUGGCUGAUACCGCAUACUAUUGGAGCGGCCGAUAUCGGAUUAGCUAGUUGGUGGGGUAAAGGCUCACCGAGGCCACGAUCCGUAGCUGGUUUGAGAGGAAGACAAGCCACACUGGGACGGAGACACGGACCAGACUCCUACGGGACGGAGCAGUGUGGAAGUUUGGGCAAUGGGGGAAAACCUGAUCCAGCCGUGCCGCGUGUAUGAGGAGGCCCUAGGGUUGUAAAGUACUUUCAGUCGGGAGACGUUACCGACAGAAGAAGCACCGGCUAACUCCGUGCCAGCAGCCGCGGUAAUAC
rnacentral:rRNA from 1 species